rnacentral:lncRNA from 1 species
AGAAGGAUAGUAUAAAUUGCUUCGAAUCAUCAUCAUCAUUGCCGAAAGAGAAAAAAAGGAAAAUCCUGAGAAAUCCGGAGUAUAACAAAAUGGUAAAGAAAUCAUCAAUGCAUAAUACAGACAAGCAUACUAUCUGGUAAAUAUUCCUCACAGAUUAUAAAACUUUACUGCUUGCUGGCAGAGAAGAAAAAUACCACCAUUUAUUGCUAUCUCAAAGGAAGAAAUGAUAUGGCACUUGUGGCGAAUAAACCAAAUUUUAAUUCAUAAAGAAAUGCAAACUUUUUCAUGGAAUGAAGCUGCAGAUGAUUUCAAAUUUCUUUGCAUCAUUUUGGUUCUCCACUCUGAGUUGACUAGCGAAUGAAGAAAGGUAGACUAGCCAAUAUGGCCGAAAUAAACGCUUUAACAUCUACAAUAUUUGUUCUAUGUGUAAAAUGACACAAGCAAUUCAUGGAAUGAAGCUGCAGAUGAUUUCAAAUUUCUUUGCAUCAUUUUGGUUCUCCACUCUGAGUUGACUAGCGAAUGAAGAAAGGUAGACGAGCCAAUAUGUCCGAAAUAAACGCUUUUAACAUCUACAAUAUUUGUUCUAUGUGUAAAAUGACGCAAGCAAUUCAUGGAAUGAAGCUGCAGAUGAUUUCAAAUUUCUUUGCAUCAUUUUGGUUCUCCACUCUGAGUUGACUAGCGAAUGAAGAAAGGUAGCCUAGCCAAUAUGGCCGAAAUAAACGCUUUUAACAUCUACAAUAUUUGUUCUAUGUGUAAAAUGACACAAGCAAUUUCUUCAAGAUAAAGAAAAUGAUUGUAACUUCUCUUCACUUGGCUCCAAUUUUAUCUAGAUAGACCGAUUACUGAUAGAAAAUAGUAGAGAACGAACACCUAACUCAUCACAACCGAUCCAAGUUGUAGUGUCAUCAACUAUUUUUAAAUAACUCCAGAACUCAAAUGUCCCUUUUCUACUUUAAACUAAUACACCAUCUAUUUGACCCUCAUAUUUAUCUAUUUAACCACAUCAACAUUUUCAAAACCUGUUAAAACACACAGAAUAUACUUAGCUGUCCUUUUAAAUCUUGAAGAUAUACCUUUAUACCCAAGUAAGACUUCUUAUAAUCGUCCAGACAUCCAUUUCCUCGACGUUCUUGUUUAGCAACUUCCACAGGCAAGGAAGGGCGCCAAAGUCAACAAUGCGCUGAGUUGUGAAGAUGGUUGACAUGUAGUUAAAAUAUUAAGGCAAUGUCCAUGUAUGACG